rnacentral:rRNA from 1 species
UACGUAGGGGGCAAGCGUUGUCCGGAUUUAUUGGGCGUAAAGAGCGUGUAGGCGGCCAUGUAGGUCCGUUGUGAAAACUCGAGGCUCAACCUCGAGACGCCGAUGGAAACCAUGUGGCUAGAGUCCGGAAGAGGAGAGUGGAAUUCCUGGUGUAGCGGUGAAAUGCGCAGAUAUCAGGAGGAACACCAAUGGCGAAGGCAGCUCGCUGGAACGGUACUGACGCUGAGGCGCGAAAGCGUGGGGAGCGAACAGG